AUUGAACGCUGGCGGCAUGCUUUACACAUGCAAGUCGAACGGCAGCGCGGGCUUCGGCCUGGCGGCGAGUGGCGAACGGGUGAGUAAUGCAUCGGAACGUGCCCAGUAGUGGGGGAUAGCCCGGCGAAAGCCGGAUUAAUACCGCAUACGACCUGAGGGUGAAAGCGGGGGACCGAAAGGCCUCGCGCUAUUGGAGCGGCCGAUGUCGGAUUAGCUAGUUGGUGGGGUAAAGGCUUACCAAGGCGACGAUCCGUAGCUGGUCUGAGAGGACGACCAGCCACACUGGGACUGAGACACGGCCCAGACUCCUACGGGAGGCAGCAGUGGGGAAUUUUGGACAAUGGGGGCAACCCUGAUCCAGCCAUGCCGCGUGCGGGAAGAAGGCCUUCGGGUUGUAAACCGCUUUUGUUCGGGACGAAAACCUCUGGGCUAAUACCCCGGGGGGAUGACGGUACCGGAAGAAUAAGCACCGGCUAACUACGUG
rnacentral:rRNA from 1 species